GACGAACGCUGGCGGCGUGCUUAACACAUGCAAGUCGAGCGGUAAGGCCCUUUCGGGGGUACGACGAGCGGCGAACGGGUGAGUAACACGUGGGUGACCUGCCCUCAGCUCUGGGAUAAGCCUGGGAAACCGGGUCUAAUACCGGAUAUGACUCCAUGACGCAUGCUGUGGGGUGGAAAGCCUUGUGCGGCUGAGGAUGGGCCCGCGGCCUAUCAGCUUGUUGGUGGGGUGANGGCCUACCAAGGCGACGACGGGUAGCCGGCCUGAGAGGGCGACCGGCCACACUGGGACUGAGACACGGCCCAGACUCCUACGGGAGGCAGCAGUGGGGAAUCUUGCGCAAUGGGCGAAAGCCUGACGCAGCGA
rnacentral:rRNA from 1 species